rnacentral:rRNA from 1 species
UACGUAGGGUGCGAGCGUUAAUCGGAAUUACUGGGCGUAAAGCGUGCGCAGGCGGUUCGUUGUGUCUGAUGUGAAAGCCCCGGGCUCAACCUGGGAAUGGCAUUGGAAACUGGCGAGCUAGAGUGUGGCAGAGGGGGGUGGAAUUCCACGUGUAGCAGUGAAAUGCGUAGAUAUGUGGAGGAACACCGAUGGCGAAGGCAGCCCCCUGGGUCAAGAUUGACGCUCAUGCACGAAAGCGUGGGGAGCAAACAGG